rnacentral:snoRNA from 1 species
ACCCUCUCAGUGCUGCACCUGGAGAGUUUCCAGAACUCUACCAGUCUCAACUACAGAAGGGAGAGUCAAGCAGAGGCCUUCCUAUUCCAUUCGUAGCUUGGGCAAUAGCUGGUGAGUGGAAGGCAAUCUGCUACAAGU